AGUGAACGCUGGCGGUAGGCCUAACACAUGCAAGUCGAACGGCAGCACAGUAAGAGCUUGCUCUUACGGGUGGCGAGUGGCGGACGGGUGAGGAAUACAUCGGAAUCUACUUUUUCGUGGGGGAUAACGUAGGGAAACUUACGCUAAUACCGCAUACGACCUACGGGUGAAAGCAGGGGAUCUUCGGACCUUGCGCGAUUGAAUGAGCCGAUGUCGGAUUAGCUAGUUGGCGGGGUAAAGGCCCACCAAGGCGACGAUCCGUAGCUGGUCUGAGAGGAUGACCAGCCAACCGGGAACGGAGACACGGGCCAGACCCCAAGGGGGGGCAGCAGUGGGGAAUAUUGGAAAAGGGGGGAAAGCCUGAUCCACCCAUACCGGGGGGGUGAAGAAGGCCUUGGGUUUGUAAAGCCUUUUUUUUGGGAAGAAAAAGAAGCAGGUUAACACCCCGCUUUUUUGACGUUACCAAAAAAAAAAGCACCGGUUAAUUUGGG
rnacentral:rRNA from 1 species